rnacentral:lncRNA from 1 species
UUUUUUCACCUUCAAUUAAUUAAUUUGUUUUACAAGUAAUACAUGUAGUAUAAAAAGAUUAAAGAUUACAAUCAUGCAAUCAUCGCCAGCCUUAAAAGCAACACAAUGUUCAAACUCAUUACUGGAAUUCUUAUCUGUGCAUGUCUGACAUUUCUCCUCAACACAGAAGUGUCUGGUCUAGGUACGUAUAUGUUUUAAGCUACUUUUAUUAAAAUAAAUUAUGAAAUAUUGUCAUUAGAUUUAUUCUGUUAAUAACAAUUACUUUUACCGCCAAAUAGGACAAAGGAGUAUGUCCAGUAAGACCUCAUUUUGGGCCCAAAAUAUAGCAGUUUUACAAAAUUGUUAAAUUGUAAACUUUUAGUUCUUUAUUGGAAGGUAGAAUGCCUCUGCUACAUAAAUAUAAGCUGUUUUUCGACAAUACCAUGCACAUAUAUCGGGUACUAGCAUCAUUAAGUUAUGCUAAAUAACUGAGAUCUUCACAAUUUAAGCGUUUUAGUUAAAUUUCAGACGGUUUCCGUCUUAAAUGACAGUGGCCGCAUUUGUGUUCAUUAUUAAUAUUGAAUAAAGUUGUAUUUAAUGUAAAUACAUAACAUAUAUAAAGGUUGAGGAUGAACACGGAUGCGGCCACUUUAAUUUUCGCCAAAACCAUCUAAAAAAUGACAUGUUUUGGCAUAUUUGAUAGAUUUUUCAUAUUUAAGCUUGAAUCGGAGCGUUUUUAAUGAGUAAAUUAGUUAUAAUCUUUCACAUAAACUUAUUGAUCAACUGAAAUAGACACUUAAGCGUUUAAAAAGUGUCCAAAAUUUUUCGUCAGAUGAACCUGAAAUUUGAGGCUAAAAUCGGUCAUUUCCGGACCUACUCCUUCAAUAACCGGUCCCAACAUAACUUGCAAUCAAUAACACAUUUUGUUCUAUUUAAAAAAAAAUAUCAAUAAACGUGUUGAUAAGAUAGUGACAAAGGCUUGUUAUAUAUUUCAGGAUAACAUGUAUAACAAAUACAAUUGAGUACGUGAUCAAAGUGUAAAUCGCAAAGAAAAACAACUGCUGAACUUCAAACAAAAUAUUAAAACGAGUUUAUUUUAUUCUAUUUCCUUUGAAAACUCAGCUUUUCACUAAACAGGCGAAAUUCAUUUACGUAUGGAAAUAUUUUGUAAUUUGCGUAUUUAAAUAAUGUAUUUAUUUUAUUAGAAAUAUAAAUUUAUUUUAAGGACCAAUUAAAAGUAUCAUAAGUUAGUAAUAAAACAAUGAUAAAAUAGGUCAUACAGCUAAAAACGUUUCCGAAUCAAGAGCAUAAUAUACAUGUAUAAUGAAUGAUAAGUUGUAUAUAAACGAACUAUAACUGAGUUAUUCUUGAUUAUAGUAGUAGAGUUUUAAUUGCUAGCUUACACAAUGACUUUUUGUCUCUCGGAUUCUGACUCUUCUACCCAUAGAAGAAUCUUCAACAGAUCCAAAAACUAUCUUAGGUAUAACACUUUUAGAAUUAUAUUCGUUAGUAAUUUUCGUUUUACCUUUUUAUAAACUAUUGUUUGAAAGUCAGUUAGCUUAUACAUGUACCGAGAUUCACAAAAUAAUACAUACUACAGAUACUGACAUUACCUAGCUACGUGUUAAUGUAUCUCGAAUUCCCAUGUUUAGCUUCGUACUAUUGCCGGAUGGGGGUGUUUCUAUUUUUAAAGAACAUCACUACGAUCGUUAAAUACAAAAGAAUAUUGAAAAUAUGAAUAUACACACACUAGAUUUUGAUAUCUAAAUGACCAUUUGAGAGGAUGGUCAUGAGGUUGUUACCGUUUUAUCUCGACGACGUAGACACCCAUUUUUUAUGUUUUUAUUUAUAUGUAAGUUUAUAUAAAUUGAUACGGCGGAUAAACUCCAACUAAAAUCUGUACGGUCUUUUCUCUGUUGUCAAUUCCAUCCAGUCAUAAUAUGUCUUUUUCAAAUAUUCUAAAGUAUGAACACAUGAUAAAAAACUGAAGUUUAGCAACGCUGAAUCGGUAAUCUGUUUUUUUUUUUAUUAUCAUUUAUCAGAAAAGUUUUAAAAGUCCAAAUAGUAACAUAUUUCAAAUUUCAGAUAGGUCACAAGUAAAGAAUUUUUGAGAUAGAAUUUUCUUAUAAUUUGCAAAAAUGAGGAUAUUACUAUGCUUUUUUCAAAAAUAUAAUAAAAAGUAUGGGUCGCCGUGCUAUUUUUCAAGCUAUGAGUCGUUAAAUAUUGCCUUAAUUUGGUCAUAUUGUUCAUGAAAAAACACAUUUCUGUGCAUAUUUUUUUUUUCUAUGAGACAAAAUUUUGAAAUAAAUUGUGAGGAGAUAGCUAUAUAGGUUUUAUUGUAUAUUUUAAGAAAAUAAAAAAAAUGGUGUCACCGUACUUGUUUUCUUGCUACAAGUAAAAAAAAAAUCCCUAUCAGUCCAGUUUAUUUUUUUACUAAAAGUGUUAUCUCCCCUUAAAUGGCUCAUUUGUAAAAAUGAUUCUUAAAACAACAAAAAAUUAUAUUUGUUUAAAUAUUUUGAAUAAUACAAUAAUUCACCUAGUUUUCAUCAUAUAAAUAAACAGUCUAACUAUAGAUUUGAAAAUCUGUCUCCAAAUUUGCAGAUUAAAGCAAAUAACUAGACCGAUUUUGUACUGUGAGUGUACGAUUCGAGAUGGCGGUAUACCAUGGAUCAACCUUAAUGAGUCAAAUCCUCAGUAUAAAAAUUAAUAUUUUAAACAAGCCAUAUUGCUCAUUUUAGUUUAUGUCAACAUAAAAGGAAUAAGUUCAUUUUUGACAGGCUAUAGACUGAAAUGCCCUGUUCCCUCUGGUGAUGCUUCCCAUUGUGCUGACUUUUGUGGAAGUUCUGGGUGUAAAAAUGGAUAUCUUUGUUGUUCCAUUGGCUGUGGUAGAGAAUGCAGAAAGGGGGUCCGCUAUUAGGCUUCAAUGAUCUACAUAUGUGGUAAGAUAUUGCUAUACAUAUUUUUCCUAAAUAUUGAUAUCAAAACGUAUUUCAAAUAUUGUAACUGAGAUACAUCCAUAGAGUCACAUACAGAUGUCUACUAUUGUAUAAUCUAUAUUAGUCCGGAGUCUAUUUUUAUUUGCUUCUUCUAGUGUUGAGUUUGCUGUCAAAUUUGCAUUUACCUCAUAUCUCACAUUGUUCUUUUUUUUUUUUCAUUUGAAAGAUAAUGGCAUGAAUAAAAGACUAAAUGUGAUUGGAUUAAAAUAACUCAGUAGUUUGCAUAUUGGGUUUUUUAAAUUCAAAAAGUAAGAUUAAUAUGAUUAGGAAUGCAUAACUAGUUUAAUAUCUUCAAAUUUUUUGCAUUAUAAGCAUUAUUUAAAAUAAAAUAGCGGUAAUUGCUUUUACAAUGUUUUAGCAUUUAAAAAAAAAAAAAUUGUGUAAAUUUGUACUGACUGGUUUGGUUGAAAAUCCAUUAUACUUGUAAACUUCUGAUUGAAAAAGAACUUAAUAUUCCGUGGGGUAAGGCACAAAACACCACACAUAUGUUCCAAUUGUCUCUACACAGUGCGACUGACUGACGUAAUGGUAACUUAAAACGGAAACAAAAUAUAUGCCAGAAUAAAGAACUAUUACUACAUGUGUAUUUUAUAAUGAAACAUAUAUGGCCGUACCAUAAUAAGACUUAUGACUCUGCCCUAGUCGACGAGAAGGUUCCAAGACGGUUAUACAACGCCUUUUCUAUUCGGACAUUAUUUCACUGAUUGAUUGAUUGAUUGUUGGUUGUUUAACGUCCAGUGGCAAAUAUUUCAUGCAUAUUCAGGACGAGAACAAGUUCACAAUGAAUACAAUAGGUAGGUCUUGUCAUAAUAUAGGUCAUAAGGGAUGAUGGUCGGGGAAAUUUCGACUGCCACUGGAAAAUGAGUGACUGUAUAUUGGAUAGGGACAGAAAUUUUGCCUUAUAACAGGCCACCUACGGGCCCUCAAGGAGUCGUUAUAAGGGUUCUUAACGUGCAAAGAGCGUGGCACUCUCUUUACACGAGACAUCGGAUUUAGCGUCCCCAUUCUGACCGGACGUGACUGCGAACUUCAUACAUCCCACACAGCCAAACGGACGCCCUACUUCGACAAGCGUUUUACUGCCUGUCGGGAGAAGACCGAGAGACCAUAUUUCUAUUCCCCAGUCACCCUUAUUACCAUGAGAAAUACACGUAUUGCAUAUAUCAUGAAAUGAAAAUAUAUAUAAAGUAUAAGAGACUGACACACAUAGGAUACAAUGCGACUUUAACUAUUCGAUCAUUUUUUUCAAUGCAUUGAAUAGUCGAAUAAAUCGCCUUCAUAUAACAACGUUAAAGGAUCAUGGCAUUUACAAGUACUUGCCUUGAGGUCAAUAUUGAUAGCCGGAUGAAAAUGACUGUAUUUUUAUAAAUAAACGUUUUGAAAAGAACUUUCACCCACCUUAACCAUUGCUAUGGGACAAAAAAGUAUAGAUUUGUCUCAUUAACACUCACACCACAUCUUCCUAUAUCAAUAUAUAUCAAUAUAUAUCUGAACAAAACUUUUUUAGGACGAACAGAUAAUAUCCACACACUUUUCCGAACCCAAAACGAUAUUAAUGAGAACAUGAAAACACAAUUUACUCUAAAACAAAGCAAAAACGAAUCAAGGUUAAUAGGAAUAAAUAGAAACGAAUUGACUAACCAAAAAAGGAAGAUAUGAUAUGCAUGAUAUAUAACAUGAAUGAUUCAAAUAUUUAAAUGCAUACAUGCAAGUUUUUGUUUUACUUCAAGUAUCGAUUAUGUCAUUGAAUUUUUAUAUUUACUUUCUUUUUUGUUGCAGGCUACCAACAUGAAAAUAUGAGAAAUCAGAUAAAGAACAUUAUUAGUUUUGAUAUGUGUCUUUGCCUUAACAAUGAGUUUUGCCUUGAACGUCUUCUCAAGUAAAAGUAUUAGUAUAUCGUCUUCACAUUCAUUUUGUGUGCCCUCUAUUCCUAACUUUCUAAUAAGUGUUCAAAAUUGAUUAUUUAUCGGG